rnacentral:tRNA from 1 species
GGAGAAGUACCCAAGUGGCUGAAGGGGCUCCCCUGCUAAGGGAGUAGGUCGUGCGAGCGGCGCGAGGGUUCAAAUCCCUCCUUCUCCG